UUGAACGCUGGCGGCAGGCCUAACACAUGCAAGUCGAACGGUAACAGGAAGCAGCUUGCUGCUUUGCUGACGAGUGGCGGACGGGUGAGUAAUGUCUGGGAAACUGCCUGAUGGAGGGGGAUAACUACUGGAAACGGUAGCUAAUACCGCAUAACGUCGCAAGACCAAAGAGGGGGACCUUCGGGCCUCUUGCCAUCGGAUGUGCCCAGAUGGGAUUAGCUAGUAGGUGGGGUAAAGGCUCACCUAGGCGACGAUCCCUAGCUGGUCUGAGAGGAUGACCAGCCACACUGGAACUGAGACACGGUCCAGACUCCUACGGGAGGCAGCAGUGGGGAAUAUUGCACAAAGGGCGCAAGCCUGAUGCAGCCAUGCCGCGUGUAUGAAGAAGGCCUUCGGGUUGUAAAGUACUUUCAGCGGGGAGGAAGGGAGUAAAGUUAAUACCUUUGCUCAUUGACGUUACCCGCAGAAGAAGCACCGGCUAACUCCGUG
rnacentral:rRNA from 1 species